rnacentral:lncRNA from 1 species
CUAAGCUAUGCAAUUUUGCAAGUAAUUUUUCUCUUCUUGCUGAGCCUGUUAAUUCAUUUAAUCAUUUUUGUUUUUCAGUCAUUUCACUUUUGCAGUGUUUUCUUGAUGUUUUUGUUUUUAUUGCUUCUUCUCCAGGGCUUCAAUCAUCUUGACCAGUUUCCAGGACAAGAGAGUACUUGCAAAAAACAGCAGAGUAAGAGCCAAAAUAACUGCUAUAAGGAAAUGAGGAGGAAGAAACCCAUAGCCAACAAGAAUUAAUGAUGCAAAGAACUGCCCUGGGAAUGAUGCGACCCUUGCCUUGUUCCUCUGGAGAAGCCUGACUAACACAAAAUGGAAGCCCACAAUCAAGAGGAAAGAAGAAAACAAACACACUAAAGGAAUUAAAAGACUCUAGUACCUGUACCUAAAACAAACACGACCCACCUAGUGGUAAAUUAACAUAAAUACUUACACUAAGUUCUCAUUUCAUCAAUUCAUACUAUACCUGACUUCCUUCUUAUUCAUAAUUUUAAAAUUAUGAAGAACCAGUGUCAUUCUAUGUACCCUACAAUAACAAUGUACCACAGAUU